UCAAGUUGACCUCCCUGGGAGCCUAGCCUUUCAUGAACGUCUUCUUGCUGGCCCAGGUGAGCGUGGAUGUCAGGUCUUGGGCCUAGCCUAUCGCGUACGUUGGUCCUUAAAUUCAAUCUGGAUGGGAAACUUCGUCUGCUCUGAGUGUGGCUUGUGGAUGCUUGCGACAUGUCCGCGAGCUGAUCUCGUUGUUGCGCAUUUCCUUGUCUGCUUACUCCUGCUCGACCUGCUUGGUUCCCGGUGAACUACCUAUCGGC
rnacentral:lncRNA from 1 species